CCAGUGGCAGUUAGCCGUCACCCUCACUUAGUUCACCAUUCCCUGUGCUCCUCACCAUCAUGUCUACAAACACUGAAGGUACUGCUGAAGAUCGCCUGCGAGUCAGCGUCGUGUACUGAAGCAACUCCAGCCAGUGACAAUUGCCUUAUUAAAUAAGGAUGACAGGUGUCACUUUUGUCAGAAAUAUAGUGACUCCUGAGGAUACGCCCCUAAAUUCCGCCUCCUGAAGGAGCUCCUGGAGGCGGAAUAUCCUGACAAACUUAAGAUCGUCAGCGAGAGCACCACUGAAAUCACCCAUUACUUUGAAGUCACCGUUGGGUCGCGGCUAGUGCACUCCAAGAAGGCGGGCGAUGGCCACAUAGACAGCGAGGAGAAGCUGGCCCGUAUCAUGGUUGCCGUGCAGGAAGCGUUAGCGGGGAAAUGAGAGUUGCCGAGGCGAAACAAGCACAGGCGAGACGUGGGCUUUAUGAAGCUUUGAACCUCAAACCCAGACAUGGAGAGGAUGAGGCGGAAAAUUUGCAACACGACUACUGUGUAAAAAGCGGGUUAUAUUCUCUCUCUCUCUCUCUCUCUCUCUCUCUCUCUCUCUCUCUCUCUCUCUCUCUCUCUCUCUCAUCCUGACUGACGCCAAGUAAGGUGACGCAAGGAUUGUCAUUUGUCAUUGCCAAUGUAAAUGUAAUGAAAAAUAAACAUACACUGCAUCCACUAACUUUUUUUCUUU